rnacentral:lncRNA from 1 species
GUCAUUCAGUCUCUCAAUGGAUGCAGAAAUCCUUCUCGGGAACCUCAGAGGCAAGAUGCAGUCACCUGGCUUCCCUGGCACUGUCUCUGAUAUCUGGGAAAUGGACCUAAGGCUGUACUCGGAGGCAGAUGUGACAAGCUACCAGCCCAGGUGAGAUGGAAGGCCUCUUCCCCUCUCAGGCCAGAGGGUCCAGUGCCAGAAUCAUCCCGACGCUUGUCGCAAAUUCACUUUCUCUUCUCCCUUUGGAUUCCACAGCUCUGGGAUGUAGCCCAGGAAGCUGUAUUUUUUUUUUUUAACUUCCCUGAGUGAUUCUGGUGAUCUUCCUCUUGGAGCCACACUGAAGGGCAAGACAAGCAGUGGCUGAACGUUGUUGCCAGCAGGGUUAGGGAGGUGGGGGCAGAGGAUAAGGAGAAGUCCUGUAGGGAUUUGGGAAGCAUGUUUGCCACUCCCAAAAAAAAGAAAAAAAAGGAAAACGAAAACAAAACAAAAAAAAGCUCAGCUUGGGAGAGAAGCCUAAAACAAACAAACAAAAAAGUAACCAAGACCUCGACGCAGUACUGAAUUGCUGAAUUUUUAAUCUGUAACACAAAGGUUGCCAAACAUUCCCCCAAAGGAGCAGCUCUCAGUGGGGUGGCGGUGGAUGCGAAACAGCUGAAGACGCGGGGCAGUUGGCCUGGCUUCCGUUGCACGGGCUGGCUUCCCGCGGGAGCGGUGGUGGGUGGGGAGGGGUGGGGGGACUCGAGGCAACCCCCCAGAGCGGCCUCUGAGCGCCUAGGAGGAACCUGAAGGCGGGAAGGGGGAAGAUCGUCAGGUCAAAGGCGGGAGUCUCAGGGCUUAUGGGGUGGGGAAGGAGGGUCUGGGUGGAAAGGUACCUCAGGGAGCCUAGGAGGCUGUCAGCGUGAGCGGGGUGUUUCGG